GCGUGAGUGAAGAAGGCCCUAGGGUUGUAAAACUCUUUCACUAGUGAAGAUGAUGACUGUAACUAGAGAAGAAGCUCCGGCUAACUUCGUGCCAGCAGCCGCGGUAAUACGAAGGGAGCUAGCGUUGUUCGGAAUUACUGGGCGUAAAGAGCAUGUAGGCGGACUAGAUAGUCAGAGGUGAAAGCCCCGAGCUCAACUUGGGAACUGCCUUUGAUACUCCUAGUCUAGAGUCCGAAAGAGGGUAGUGGAAUUCCAAGUGUAGAGGUGAAAUUCGU
rnacentral:rRNA from 1 species